AGUGAACGCUGGCGGUAGGCCUAACACAUGCAAGUCGAACGGCAGCACAGUAAGAGCUUGCUCUUACGGGUGGCGAGUGGCGGACGGGUGAGGAAUACAUCGGAAUCUACUUUUUCGUGGGGGAUAACGUAGGGAAACUGACGCUAAUACCGCAUACGACCUACGGGUGAAAGCAGGGGAUCUUCGGACCUUGCGCGAUUGAAUGAGCCGAUGUCGGAUUAGCUAGUUGGCGGGGUAAAGGCCCACCAAGGCGACGAUCCGUAGCGGGCCUGAGAGGAUGAUCGGCCACACUGGAACUGAGACACGGUCCAGACUCCUACGGGAGGCAGCAGUGGGGAAUCUUGGACAAUGGGCGCAAGCCUGAUCCAGCCAUACCGCGUGGGUGAAGAAGGCCUUCGGGUUGUAAAGCCCUUUUGUUGGGAAAGAAAAGCAGCAGGUUAAUACCCCGCUGUUCUGACGGUACCCAAAGAAUAAGCACCGGCUAACUUCGUG
rnacentral:rRNA from 1 species